UACGGGGGGAGCAAGCGUUGUUCGGAUUUACUGGGCGUAAAGGGCGCGUAGGCGGUCAGCACAAGUCAAUUGUGAAAUCUCCGAGCUUAACUCGGAAGGGUCAACUGAAACUGUGCGACUAGAGUGCGGAAGGGGCAACUGGAAUUCUUGGUGUAGCGGUGAAAUGCGUAGAUAUCAAGAGGAACACCUGCGGCGAAGGCGGGUUGCUGGGCCGACACUGACGCUGAAGCGCGAAAGCCAGGGGAGCGAACGGG
rnacentral:rRNA from 1 species